GCCGGCUUGGCGAAAUUGGCAUACGCGGCAGCCUUAGGAGCUGUUGAUCUUGGAUCGUGGGGGUUCGAGUCCCCCAGCCGGCA
rnacentral:tRNA from 1 species